CUGAUUCAUGGCCCAAGACCUCUAUUUUUCCAUAGAACUGGUUUGGCACAGGCAGCUGCGGUGCACAUUUUCCUGUAAUUCUCUGCCAAUGUGUCUCAACAUUGACCUGCAGGGAACACCUGUAAGGACGUGAGAGUAAUUCAGUCUCCAUGCUCAUUCACUUCUUGAACUCU
ensembl:misc_RNA